rnacentral:lncRNA from 1 species
AGCCCGCCUCGCCACGGCUGGGCGCUCGCUGAAGAGUUGAGGCUGCGCCUCUGCCGGCCACAUGGCGUGUUACCUGGUCAUCAGCUCCAGACACCUCAGCAAUGGGCACUACCGGGGCAUUAAAGGAGUCUUCCGAGGGCCCCUCUGCGAGAACGGAUCUCCCUCUCCGCUAUUCAAGAAAUCUGUAACCUUCCCAGAAGUCUUUGUUCAACUCUGGAAUGAGCGUAGAUCAUCACAAGGACAGUCCAUCGCUGGUAUACACAGACAAACCAAAGGGCCAGAGUGGGGCUCCCUGCACC